rnacentral:rRNA from 1 species
UACAUAGGGUGCAAGCGUUGUCCGGAAUUAUUGGGCGUAAAGAGCUCGUAGGUGGUCGAUCACGUCGGAUGUGAAAUUCUGAGGCUUAACCUCGGACCUGCAUUCGAUACGGGUUGACUAGAGCGUGGUAGGGGAGACUGGAAUUCCUGGUGUAGCGGUGGAAUGCGCAGAUAUCAGGAGGAACACCGAUGGCGAAGGCAGGUCUCUGGGCCAUUACUGACACUGAGGAGCGAAAGCGUGGGGAGCGAACAGGAUUAGAUACCCUGGUAGUCCACGCCGUAAACGGUGGGCGCUAGUUGUGGGAACCUUCCACGGUUUCUGCGACGCAGCUAACGCAUUAAGCGCCCCGCCUGGGGAGUACGGUCGCAAGACUAAAACUCAAAGAAAUUGACGGGGCCCCGCACAAGCAGCGGAGCAUGCGGCUUAAUUCGACGCAACGCGAAGAACCUUACCAAGGCUUGACAUAUACAGGAAUACGGCAGAGAUGUCGUAGCCGCAAGGUCUGUAUACAGGUGGUGCAUGGUUGUCGUCAGCUCGUGUCGUGAGAUGUUGGGUUAAGUCCCGCAACGAGCGCAACCCUCGUCCUGUGUUACCAGCAUUUAGUUGGGGACUCACAGGAGACUGCCGGGGUCAACUCGGAGGAAGGUGGGGAUGACGUCAAAUCAUCAUGCCCCUUAUGUCUUGGGCUGCACGCAUGCUACAAUGGCUGGUACAAAGGGCUGCGAUACCGCGAGGUGGAGCGAAUCCCAAAAAGCCAGUCUCAGUUCGGAUUGGGGUCUGCAACUCGACCCCAUGAAGUCGGAGUUGCUAGUAAUCGUAGAUCAGCAACGCUACGGUGAAUACGUUCCCGGGGCU